CUGCUGCCUUCCGUAGGAGUUUGGACCGUGUCUCAGUUCCAAUGUGGGGGACCUUCCUCUCAGAACCCCUAUCCAUCGAUGCCUUGGUGGGCCGUUACCCCGCCAACAAGCUAAUGGAACGCAUCCCCAUCGAUGACCGAAAUUCUUUAAUAGUUCUACCAUGCGGAAGAACUAUGCCAUCGGGUAUUAAUCUUUCUUUCGAAAGGCUAUCCCCGAGUCAUCGGCAGGUUGGAUACGUGUUACCCACCCGUGCGCCGGUCGCCAU
rnacentral:rRNA from 1 species